GGAGGAUAAGCGAAUGGCUAGCAGGUUGAUUCGAAAUCAAUUGCCGGGUAACCGGUUGCGGGUUCGAGUCCCGUGUCCUCCG
rnacentral:tRNA from 1 species